CCUGGUGGCUCAGAAGGUAAAGCAUUUGUCUGCAAUGCAGGAGACCAGGGUUCGAUCCCUGGGUCAGGA
rnacentral:tRNA from 1 species